GGUUAAGCGACUAAGCGUACACGGUGGAUGCCCUGGCAGUCAGAGGCGAUGAAGGACGUGCUAAUCUGCGAAAAGCGUCGGUAAGGUGAUAUGAACCGUUAUAGCCGGCGAUGUCCGAAUGG
rnacentral:rRNA from 1 species